rnacentral:rRNA from 1 species
CUAGUCAUAUGGAUUCGCCCGCCGCGCCCCGCGCCCGUCCCGCCGCCCCCGCCCGCUCCUACGGGAGGCAGCAGUGAGGAAUAUUGGUCAAUGGCCGAGAGGCUGAACCAGCCAAGUCGCGUGAGGGAAGACGGUCCUAUGGAUUGUAAACCUCUUUUGUCGGGGAGCAAAAGGCGUCACGUGUGACGCUAUGAGAGUACCCGAAGAAAAAGCAUCGGCUAACUCCGUGCCAGCAGCCGCGGUAAUACAAU